rnacentral:rRNA from 1 species
CCUACGGGUUGCAGCAGUGGGGAAUUUUGGACAAUGGGCGAAAGCCUGAUCCAGCCAUGCCGCGUGCAGGAUGAAGGCCUUCGGGUUGUAAACUGCUUUUGUACGGAACGAAACGGCCUUUUCUAAUAAAGAGGGCUAAUGACGGUACCGAAAGAAUAAGCACCGGCUAACUACGUGCCAGCAGCCGCGGUAAUACGUAGGGUGCAAGCGUUAAUCGGAAUUACUGGGCGUAAAGCGUGCGCAGGCGGUUAUGUAAGACAGUUGUGAAAUCCCCGGGCUCAACCUGGGAACUGCAUCUGUGACUGCAUAGCUAGAGUACGGUAGAGGGGGAUGGAAUUCCGCGCGUAGCAGUGAAAUGCGUAGAUAUGCGGAGGAACACCGAUGGCGAAGGCAAUCCCCUGGACCUGUACUGGCGCUCACGCACGAAAGCGUGGGGGGCAAACAGGAUUAGAUACCCUAGUAGUC